UACGUAGGUGGCAAGCGUUAUCCGGAAUUACUGGGCGUAAAGCGCACGCAGGCGGUCUUUUAAGUUUGACGUGAAAGCUCCCGGCUUAACUGGGAGAGGUCGUUGAAGACUGGAAGACUUGAGGCAAUGAGAGGGGUGUAGAAUUCCCGGUGUAGUGGUGGAAUGCGUAGAUAUCGGGAGGAAUACCUAUGGCGAAAGCAGGCUACUGGACCGUCACUGACUCUGAUCUGCGAAAGCUAGGGGAGCAAACAGG
rnacentral:rRNA from 1 species